AAACGCGCAGAUGGGAACAUAGGUUAUUUUGGUGGUAACAUACUUGGAACGACAACAUAGGUCAUUAUGGUGGUAACAUAUUUGGAAAGGAAACAUAGGUCUUUCUGUUGGUAACAUAUUUGCAAAGGCAACAUAUGACAUUCUGGUGGUAACAUAUUUGGAACGGCAACAUCCCGGGUCAACAUGAGUUCUUCCCAUGAACAAAGUCUGAUAUGCAGAUACAACAUCUUCAUGUGUAGCAUUACCUCAACAAGAAUGGUUGGCACACAUGCGUUUUCCGUGACAUAAACAAAAAACAUUAAAUCUGAACUCGACAUAUGAAUAUUAUAGCACUAAGACUUAAUAUAAAAAAAAAGCAUAUACCAGCACUAGGCUUUCUAGUUAAAAGGCGCA
rnacentral:lncRNA from 1 species